GUUGCUAUGGGCAACUGGUGAACUUUUCCUCAGCACAGGUCCUGUCGAAUCUCCCCCUAUGGGACCUUCCACACAGUGAGGAGCCGCUCCUUACACACGAGGUCUAGCUUCCCCAGAAAGAGUGAACACCAGCGACAACUGAAAGAAAACCGCACUGCCCUCCGCCUUUCACACGACGGACCUGCGGUUUAUUCCCGCUGCAUCCCUGUAGGGACAGAUAAAGCCAGGACCGUCCAGGCACCAGACUACUGUUGUCAUAAGAGCUAUUCAGCCAACCUCUGACUGAGGCAGGACACCCCUGCGGGAAACUUCCUGUAGGGAGGAUGUGUUACAGGAACAAAGAAGAAGUAGUGACAAGUGGGGACUGGGAGAGAGUUUCAAAGUUCGAAAAAUGCAAAAUUUUCACAUUUUACAUGGAAUUUGAGAAUUUUUCACCAAGAAAUGAUCAUGACUCGGGAAAUCUGACAAAAGCAUCCCAGUUCAACUGCAUUUGGUACAUUGCUUAUUCUUCUAUUCCCAGGAUAUAGCCCACUCUGCACCAUCCGUGCUUUCUGCACACACUGUCCAGGAGUACUGUAUGUGCACACAUCCACAGGACCAUUUUCUACUAUGUUUAUCCAUCAGUGUCUUCGUGGAUUUUUUUUUUUUUUUUACAAUGCUUGUGUCCCCCUUUUGCUUGCCCCCUAUUUAUUAAUUUGUACCAAAACGAUUUGUGGUCACCAUACAUCUAAUUUUUUUUAUACUCUAUGACGCUGCUGGUUGAUAUAUUUUGUUAAUUCCUGUAAAUAUGAAUUUUCCAAACCAAAUUUAUUUAAAUGCCGGUGCCGUCCCUGUGCGCAUGCGAUGGUCUUCCGGGCUCGCGUCUUACACUGCCCGUUAUGUAACUUGUCAUGUGACGGAGUCAGCUGACGCGGCGCCUGGAAGUACGCGCGGUGGCUCGUGCGCUAUGCACCGCUAUAGAGACAGGUUUCUUUCCGGCUCCACACAGGUACAUAAUAUUUACUUGAUUGUUCUGGUUCCUGAUUGGCCAAGUUCCAUUUAAAUAGCAUUCGCACUGAGAGGACGCCACCCCCAGGACAAAGGAUAUCGCCGAAACGUACGUUGGGGUGGCGUCACUCCUGCUGCACUCCUGCACUUUUCAUUGUAUUAGGUUGGUACUGUAUGCUUUUCUAUGCACUUAAAGACUGAUGUCUAUUUACUGAGAUGCAUUGCAUACCUGUUGUCCUUUUUGCACCUUAUAAUUACCAUAUUUAUCAGGGUAUACCACGCACUGGCCUAUAACACGCACCC